CCUACGGGCGGCUGCAGUGGGGAAUAUUGGACAAUGGGGGGAACCCUGAUCCAGCCAUGCCGCGUGUGUGAAGAAGGCCCUCGGGUUGUAAAGCACUUUCAGUGAGGAAGAACGCCUGGUGGUUAAUACCCAUCAGGAAAGACAUCACUCACAGAAGAAGCACCGGCUAACUCCGUGCCAGCAGCCGCGGUAAUACGGAGGGUGCGAGCGUUAAUCGGAAUUACUGGGCGUAAAGCGCGCGUAGGUGGCUUGAUAAGCCGGUUGUGAAAGCCCCGGGCUCAACCUGGGAACGGCAUCCGGAACUGUCAAGCUAGAGUGCAGGAGAGGAAGGUAGAAUUCCCGGUGUAGCGGUGAAAUGCGUAGAGAUCGGGAGGAAUACCAGUGGCGAAGGCGGCCUUCUGGACUGACACUGACACUGAGGUGCGAAAGCGUGGGUAGCAAACAGGAUUAGAUACCCUAGUAGGC
rnacentral:rRNA from 1 species